rnacentral:lncRNA from 1 species
UAAACUGACCGGAUUUAUUUUUCAGAGCUGAAAUAUUUCCUCACCUCUCCCUUCAUGCUGCAGGAUCCCCGGAGGUUUGUCAUAAAACAUCCUCAUUGGUGACCCCCAAGAAAAAGCUGUAAACACCUGGAAACCCAAGCAGCGUCAGCAAAGCACAGUGCUGUUCUUGUGCUCAUCAGCCCAUAAGAGAAGCUGACUGAAGAUUGUGGUGACUGCACCACAACUGCCCCAGCACAUUUAACUUCAAGAUAGAGUCAGCUGUUUUGUCAGCACCUCUGCAUUCUGUGAGUUGUAGCAUGAACUAGCUGGCAUUUGUGCUUCAUUGAAAGCUCCCUAAGUGGGAGUAGCAUGGCUGCCCAAUGUGGUCUGGAUGUGAUGGUCAUGUCAAUUAGCCUAUGAUCAGUGCUCCCAUUCUUCAUCC